rnacentral:rRNA from 1 species
UAGGGAAUCUUCCGCAAUGCGCGAAAGCCUGACGGAGCAACGCCGCGUGAGUGUUGAAGGUCUUCGGAUCGUAAAACUCUGUUAUUAGGGAAGAACAAAUGUGUAAGUAACUAUGCACGUCUUGACGGUACCUAAUCAGAAAGCCACGGCUAACUACGUGCCAGCAGCCGCGGUAAUACGUAGGUGGCAUGCGUUAUCCGGAAUUAUUGGGCGUAAAGCGCGCGUAGGCGGUUUUUUAAGUCUGUUGUGAAAGCCCACGGCCCAACCGUGGAGGGUCAUUUGAAACUGGAUAACUUGCGUGCAGAAGAUGAAAGUCGAAUUCCAUGUGUAGCGGUGAAAUGCGCAGAGCUAUGUUUGAACACCCGUGACAGAGGCGACUUUCUGGUCUGUAUCAUACGCUAAUGUGCGAAAGCGUGGGGAUCAAACAGG